rnacentral:sRNA from 1 species
UGUAUCGGAAGCCUGACGAGGAUGAGAACCUCCGGGGCAAGAGGUUCGACCCGAGCGAAGCGAGAGAACGUUGCGUCAGCAACGGCCCGCAGGGCGAGCCAUCCUCUAUCACCGGCA